GGGUACACGCUUGUACUAAAUGUUUUGCUUAUCUGAAAUUGAGAGUUACCUGGGCACUUCGUAUCUUAUUUGGGACAGGGAGGGGUGGGAGAUGGUGGGGUUUCGACUUGGGGUCUCUCAGGCCAGAAACUCUGUGUUUCAGUCCUGACUACCACUCACUGGUCCCACAACCCCAUUGGGUUACUCACAGCUCAGCCUGGGUUUCCUCCUCGGCCUUGACAUUACCGCCCGCAUAAGGCUGGUGUGAGGAUUCCCUGAGAUGACCUUGUAAAGCCUUUAGCUGGGGGCUGGGCGCCGAAAGGACUCAAUACGCGCUCCCUGUGUGUGUCCUCCACUGAGGCUGGGUGCGCAGAGGAGCUGUAAUCAAUCAUUAGCCACGUGUCUCAGGCAGCAGGUCUCAGACACUGGGGGUCUCAGGGCCCCUUAGCGUUUAAAAAAUCAUUGCAGGCCCAGAGCUGUUGUGUAUGUGUAUAUCGACAUUUGCAGCGAUGGAAAUUAAAGCUGAGAAAAAACAGAGGUCUUUAUGCAUUCGUUGCUUCAUGACAACGAACUCACUGUACUCACAGGAAUAAUGCACUUUUUUUUAAUGAAAAAUAGCUCUGUCUUAAAACCAGCAAAGCAGCCCAAAGAGUGGCCUUGUGUUUCACUUCGCAGCUCUCUUGAGUGAGGUUAACACAAGGCCAGCUGGGUUAUCACACCUGCCAGGGCUUUGAAGCUCUCGCGAGAUCACGCCUCACGUAGCCUCUGGAAAACUCCGUGGAACACCUGCCUGCGAGAAAGUGAGAGUGAAAAAUGCAAAUCUCUUACUAUCAUCAAGAAAGUAGUUUUGAUCGUUUGUUCUCUGGAUCCCCUGAGAGGUUCUGGGACCUCGCUUUGAGAAUCCCUGUCUAGGACUCCUUUUGGGAAGAUGCCCCCUGCCCCGCCGACCCCUGAGCCUCACCUGGCCGCGAUGGCGGUGGGGCUGCCCCAGGCCUGGGCGUCGAGGUGGUGGUCCGGGCGCUGCCCACUCCGCGGCGGGCCUUCCCAGCUGCUGUCGGCGCUGAAGGCAACGGGGUGUCCCGCUGGUAUCUGCAUCCAUCCCCCCAUCUCUCCAGGAGCGUCGUCGUGGCGACCAGCGGCCACCUUGUCAAUGGAGCAGAUGGGCCUGUGACCACGUCCGGGGGCUCCAGCUGUCCCUGCCACCCCCCUGAGCAGCCCCCAGGGGAGGCCACCUCUGUCCCCCAGGCCUGGGCCCCAGAAGCCCACCUGAGCCCACUGCCCCCCAGCCUCGGCCCGGGUAGGGGCCUGGCACGUCUGGGAGUGGAUGUGCGUCUUCACUCGCUCUUUGUUAUUGUUGUUUUUAUUUUUAUUAAAAAUGUUUUUUUUCUUGAGACAGAGUUGGUAGACAGUAUUAUGUAAGUUUCACGUGUACAACAUCAUGGCUCACGGUUUUUACAGGUUCCACCCGCUCACAGUUGUUAUAAAAUACGGGCGGCAUUCCCUGUGCUGUGCACGGUGCCUCUGUGGUUCCUUUAUUUUACACGCAGCCCCUGUCCUGCCCUCCCCACUCCCCUCUCCCCGAGAGUAGCCGGUGGCUUGUGCUCUGUGCGGGCGAGUCUGUUUCCUUUUGUUAUACUCGCUAGCUGUCCUUUUUAGAUUCCAGGUAUAACUGAUAUCACACACUAUUUGUCUCUGACUCAUUUCACUUAGGGUGAUGCCCUCCAAGUCCGUCCAUGUGGCUCCAAAUGACAAACUUUCAUUCCUUUUCACGAUUGAGCAGUAUUCCUGUGUGUGUGUGUGUGUGUGUGUGUGUGUGUGCGCGCGCGUGUGCACACAUAUGUACCAUAUCUUCUUUAUCCGUUCAUCUGUUCAUGGACGCUUAGGUUGCUCCGUAUCUUGGCAACUGUAAAUAGUGUUGCUAUGAACAUUGGGGUGCAUGUAUCUUUUUUCAAUUACUGUUUUCAUUUUUGUUAGAUGUACACCCAGAAGUGGAGUUGCUAGGUCAUAUGGUAGUUCUGUUUUUUAGUUUUUUGAGAAACCACCGUAUUAUUUUGCAGUGUCUGCACCAAUUUACAUUCUCUCCGAGAGUAUACAAGGACUCCGUUUUCCUGCAUCCUCACCAACAUUUGCUAUUUGCAGUCUUUUGGAUAAUAGCCAUUCUGACAGAUAUGAGGUGAUGGCUCAUUAUGGUUUGAAUUUGCAUUUCUCUGGUGAUUAAUGAUGUUGAGCAUCUUUUCGUGUGCCUGAUGGCCAUCUGUAUAUUUUCUUUGGAAAAAUGUCUAUUCAGGUCUUCUGCCUGUUUUUUGUUUUUUGUUUUUUAAUUAGAUCAGUUUUUUUGUCUGUUUCCAGUAUAAGCUGUUUAUAUACUUUGGAUAUUAACCCCUUAUCAGUCAUAUUUGCAAAUAUUUUCUCCCAUUCAGUAGAUUGUAUUUUCAUGUUGCUGAUGGUUUUCUUUGCCAUACAAAAGUUUUUACAUUUAAUUAGGUCCCAUUUGAUUCCUUGUUUGUUUUUUGCUUUGGAGACAGAUCCAAAAAAAAGUGUUGCUACCAUUUAUAUCAAACAGUGUUCUGCCUAUGUUUUCUUCUAGGAGUUUUAUGUGUUUUGGUCUUAUAUUUAAGCCUUUUAAUCCAUUUUGAGUUUAUUUUUGUAUAUGGUAUGAAAAAAUGUGCUCAUUUCCUUCUUUUACGCGUAGCUGUCCAGUUUUCCCAGCACCGCUUAUUGAAGAGACUGUGUUUCCUCUGUUGUGUGUUCUUGCCCUCUUUGCUGUGGGAUGAUUGGCCCCCAACGUGCGCUGUCUUUUCGUCUGCGUCUCC
ensembl:lncRNA